UGCCAGCAGCCGCGGUAAUACGGAGGGUGCAAGCGUUAAUCGGAAUCACUGGGCGUAAAGGGCGCGUAGGCGGUUCGAUAAGUCGGGUGUGAAAGCCCCGGGCUCAACCCGGGAACUGCAUUCGAUACUGUCGAGCUUGAGUGUGGUAGAGGAAAGCGGAAUUCCCGGCGUAGCGGUGAAAUGCGUAGAUAUCGGGAAGAACACCAGUGGCGAAGGCGGCUUUCUGGACUGAUACUGACGCUGAGGUGCGAAAGUGUGGGGAGCAAACAGGAUUAGAUA
rnacentral:rRNA from 1 species